GUCCCCACCAUGGUCACCACAGAAUGGCCUUGGAGCGAGGGAAUCAGGCAUGAGGAACAGAGAGUGACCACCCCAACACCCCACCCACGGGUCCCUGGGCACGGAUGCCACCACCAGAACCAUCAGUGGGGACAGCUUUGCUCCUGCACGAUCAGACACGGUCACCUGCCCAGCAGAGAGAGCUCCCUCGGAGGACAAGGAGGAUGAGAAGGACGAGGUCUGUGGACGUUGGAUCCUGUCAUGGAGCAAGUCCUGAGUGCCCUUCUCCAGGCUCAGGUACAAUCAGGUGCCUCAUUCCCUGUUCUCCAUCUCUCCAACCUCGUGGCUCCUCGGACACUGCCCAGGCUUGGAAGAAGCUCCCCAUGAGCAACUUGGUCCAGUGUCCCUGCCCAUGGCAGAGGGGUGGAAUGAGAUGAGCUUUAAGGUCCCUCCCAACCCAAACCAUUCCAGGAUUCAGCAAAAAUUCCUCUUUUUUCCUCCUGAAACCGGUUCUGCAAACUCCCAUGCCAGGGAAGCAUUUCUACAGGAAUCUCCAUCGUGGGGAGAGUGUGGGAACACCCACCUGCAGAGCCAGAGGGCUCCCAGCACUCCGAGGAUGUUCCCUCCCUGCAGCCCCAAGCUCAGCACAUUCUCCUCAGAAGCCAAGGGAACCCCAGCCUGCCCCCGGUGGAGGAGGAGCCAGUGGGAUGAAUCCUACCCCAAACAACUGGUGAGUUUAUUUUGGGAAGUGCCCAAUCACCCAGCUUUGCCCGAGGUCCCAGUCUGGUCUGGGAUCCCCAGGGAUGUUUCUACAUCAGACACACGAGCAGAGCCCCUUGACUGCAAUGGCUUGGGCAGAACAUCCCAUUUUUCCUUGUCUGCAUUGCUCCAGAAGGCUCCAGGGAGACCUUAGAGCAACUUCCAGUGCCUAAAGGGGCUCCAGGAGAGCUAGAGAGAGACUUGGGACAAGGGUCUGGAGUAACAUGAUAAGGGGGAAUUGCUUUUAACUGAAAGAGGAGGAAUUUAGGUUUGAUAUAUGGAAGAAAUUCUUCCCUAUG